UUGAAACAGUGAUUGAGCCCCUGGUGUGAAGGCAGGGCCAACCCAGGGAACCUCAGGUGCGUGCAAUGGGAUGGAGCCAGGAUCCACCCCUUUCCAGACCUCACUGAAGGGUAAGCAGUGGAGGUAGGGGUAUCUUACUAGAGAUGUCUGUGUAUUUGAGGCCUUCUAAAGGUAAGUAGCUUCUUUCUUUAAUUUCUGUGCCUUCAGCUGUUACAUUUGAGCAAAUUCUCAUCUGCUGUGGCCUAGGACCUUGCUGCUCUGCUGUCAUUGCUGCACUUUCCUUUGUGUUAUGAUUUCCUGGUGAUUAGAUUUCUGUGUCAGCAGCUGUAGAUGUCUGCAGGUGCAGAGCACUAGGAAGAAAGCACAGACCAGGCUGUAUGGAUAGGCCUAGUCAGCUUUUGCAACUCCAGUUAACCUGCCCAAACCUCGUUCCAUCAGAGAGUAAGGAAAAACAAAGGUAACAAGCACCUUAUGGCUGUUAGGUGACCUGUAUGAAAUAAAACAUAGGUCUUUGUCUCCUCUGGGGAGAGGAGUGCUCAAAUCACCAUAGUGCUGCUUAGCUACCUUACUAGUAACCUCAUGGAAGCUAAGCCUCCAUAUCCUACCUGAAAGAAAAGAGCUGGGGGAAAGAAGUAAUUCUAAGUUAGCUUAAUAGUCUCUUCUUGCUGGAGAGACGGUAGAAUAAGCCUGGCCUUCCUGAAGUAGGCUGAGCUCACUUUCUGGAGCAUCCUGCAACUGCAAUGACUUUGUGCUGAAAAACUCUUGAUUGCAUGAGCAUGGGUCUGGAGCAGAGCUGUACAGAGAUAUUUACAGAUCUGCCAUGAAGUGGUUUGCAGAUUGAAAAAGAUGCAGAGAACUGUGAUGGAUUUCUUUUUCAAGCCAUAAUACCAGCACCAAAAUAUCAGUGUGCACAGGAAGAACUCUGGAGAUCGAAACACAAAAGGAGACAGCAAGAAGAGAAUUCUCUUCCAGUACAUUAAAAGUAGACAUCCUCUGGAAUUCCCCACUGCUAUGUCCCUGGCAGUGCCUAGUCCACCUCUGUCUUCAGAAGACAGCACCACGUCAUGGGAGUUACCUCCUCUGACAGUGUAAUUUGAAAAGAGAAUGAACUACUUUCUACAAAAAAAGAUUCUGCAAGAGGAUUGUUUCCCGUGACUACUUUAAAAUAGCAUCCUGGUUAACGAAGUUGCAUAAUGUUGCUCUUGUGAUUUUCUGGGAUGGCUGAUAUAAUAAAAUAAUAA
rnacentral:lncRNA from 1 species